rnacentral:rRNA from 1 species
CCGUAGACCCGGAAGGGCGCGGGCCUUAGUGGCGGACGGGUGAGUAACGCGUGGGGAACCUGCCCCGUACCGGGGGAUAACACCUGGAAACAGGUGCUAAUACCGCAUAACAGAAGGGGACGCAUGUUCCUUUCUUGAAAACUCCGGUGGUACGGGAUGGACCCGCGUCUGAUUAGCUGGUUGGCGGGGUAACGGCCCACCAAGGCGACGAUCAGUAGCCGGCCUGAGAGGGCGGACGGCCACAUUGGGACUGAGACACGGCCCAAACUCCUACGGAAGGCAGCAG